rnacentral:tRNA from 1 species
GCCCGGAUGGCGAAACUGGUAGACGCAUCGGACUUAAAAUCCGCCGGGGGCAACCCCAUGCCGGUUCGACUCCGGCUCCGGGCACCA